GAUGAACGCUGGCGGCGUGCUUAACACAUGCAAGUCGAACGGAAAGGCCCUUCGCGGUACCCGCGUGGCGAACGGGCGAGCAACACGUUGGCGAUUUGCUCUGCACCUUGUGAUACGCCUGGGACAUUGGGACUAAUGACGUAUUGGCCCAUGCGCUUUUUGGUGUGUGGUGGCAAGCUUUUGCGGCGUGUGUUGGGCCCGUUGCCUAUCAGCUCGCUGGUGGAGUACUGGUUUACCAAGGCGGGGCCUGAUAGCCGGCCUGUGAGGGUGAACGGUCACACGAGGACUGAGGGACGGAGCAGACGCCUACGGGAGGCAGCAGUGGGGAAUAUUGCAGAAUGAGCGCGAGCCAGAUGCAGCGGCGCCGCGAGCGGAAAGACGGCCUUCGAGUUAUAAACCUCUUUCAAUAGGGACGAAGCGCAAGUGACGGUACCUAAAGAAGAAGCACCGGCCAACUACGUG
rnacentral:rRNA from 1 species